AAACAUUCAAACAUUCAAAACUUAGACAUAACUUUGAAAUAGCAAAAGAGGAAACAACCCCUUACAGUCUCACAUAAUGUGUCAUUGAAUAAAAUACAAUGCAAGUCAAUGAAAGAAUGCCAAUUAAUCCAUUAAUCAUACAGAACUCUACAAAAUACACCUCAGAUAUGAUCUAUCUGCUAACCCUUUCUCUGUUUAAUUUUCUUUAAUUUCAUGCUGACAGAUGCAGCCAAAAAACAAGGAGCAAAAGUGGUGGAAGCCGAGGAAAAAAUAAAAACCUGGCUGAAGUAUAGUGGAGACCGAAAUGGAGGAAGAAAAAAAAGAGCAACAGAAAAAGAAACAGAAGCCUCAAGCAGAUUCCAGCAGCUGUGAAAGUGAAUGAGUAUGCUGCUACUUCUCCUCCUCCGCUCCGUCUUCAUCAUCAGAGCCACACACAAUCUCUAAUCUGCUUCAAAAAACUCUGCAGAAUACGGAAGAGAAUCUGCACAUUUUCUCAUUAAACUGCAAUAAGUUAAUUU